rnacentral:rRNA from 1 species
GUGCCUAAUACAUGCAAGUCGAACGAAGAGCUUAAAGUAGCAAUACUUUGAUAACUCUUAGUGGCGAACGGGUGAGUAACGCGUUGGUGACCUACCCCAAAGAUAGGGAUAACAGCUCGAAAGGGCUGCUAAUACCUAAUGUUAUCAUUUGGCUUAGAUGCCUUAUGAUUAAAGGAGCUUGCUCCACUUUGGGAGGGGCCUGCGUCCCAUCAGCUAGUUGGUAGGGUAAUGGCCUACCAAGGCUAUGACGGGUAGGGGACCUGAGAGGGUGGCCCCCCACAAUGGAACUGAAACACGGUCCAUACACCUACGGGUGGCAGCAGUAGGGAAUAUUGGUAAUCUGCGAAAGCGGGAACCAGCAACGCCGCGUGCGCGAAGAAGGCCUUCGGGUUGUAAAGCGCUUUUCGGGAGGAAGAGGAAGGACUGUACUCCCGGAAUAAGUCUCGGCUAACUACGUGCCAGCAGCCGCGGUAAUACGUAGGAGGCUAACGUUAUCCGGAUUUACUGGGCGUAAAGCGCGUGCAGGCGGUUCGUUAAGUUGGACGUGAAAGCUCCCGGCUCAACUGGGAGAGGUCGUUCAAUACUGGCGGACUUGAGGAUGGUAGAGGGAGGUGGAAUUCCGGGUGUAGUGGUGAAAUGCGCAGAUAUCCGGAGGAACACCAGUGGCGAAAGCGGCCUCCUGGACCAGUCCUGACGCUCAGACGCGAAAGCUAGGGUAGCAAACGGGAUUAGAGACCCCGGUAGUCCUAGCUGUAAACGAUGUGACUUGGCGUCGGUGGGACUAAUUCCAUCGGUGU